CCUACGGGUGGCUGCAGUGGGGAAUAUUGCGCAAUGGGCGAAAGCCUGACGCAGCGACGCCGCGUGAGGGAUGAAGGUCUUCUGAUCGUAAACCUCUGUCAGCCGGGGAGCACGGUCCCUUUGCUAAUCAGCAGUGCAUUGACGGUACCUGCAAAGGAAGCACCGGCUAACUCCGUGCCAGCAGCCGCGGUAAUACGGAGGGUGCGAGCGUUAAUCGGAAUUACUGGGCGUAAAGCGCUCGUAGGCGGUAUGUCAAGUCAAGGGUGAAAUCCCCGCGCUCAACGUGGGAACUGCCUUUGAAACUGGCAAACUGGAGUGUGUGAGAGGAUAGUGGAAUUCCAGGUGUAGGAGUGAAAUGCGUAGAUAUCGGGAGGAACAUCAGUGGCGAAGGCGACUAGCUGGCACAGAACUGACGCUGAGGAGCGAAAGCGUGGGUAGCAAACAGGAUUAGAUACCCUUGUAGUC
rnacentral:rRNA from 1 species